UACGUAGGGGGCAAGCGUUGUCCGGAUUUAUUGGGCGUAAAGAGCUCGUAGGCGGUCUGUCGCGUCUGCUGUGAAAACUCGGGGCUUAACCCCGGGCCUGCAGUGGGUACGGGCAGACUAGAGUGCGGUAGGGGAGACUGGAAUUCCUGGUGUAGCGGUGAAAUGCGUAGAGAUCGGGUGGAACACCAGGGGCGAAGGCGGCAUCCUGGCUCUGUUCUGACGCUGAGGCGCGAGAGCGUGUGGAGCAAGCCGG
rnacentral:rRNA from 1 species